AAACGCUUCUUUCCUCCCGAGUGCUUGCACUCAAUUGGAAAGAGGAGUGGCGGAUCUGUGGUGAGUAACACGUGGGUAACCUACCCAUCAGAGGGGGAUAACACUUGGAAACAGGUGCUAAUACCGCAUAACAGUUUAUGCCGCAUGGCAUAAGAGUGAAAGGCGCUUUCGGGUGUCGCUGAUGGAUGGACCCGCGGUGCAUUAGCUAGUUGGUGAGGUAACGGCUCACCAAGGCCACGAUGCAUAGCCGACCUGAGAGGGUGAUCGGCCACACUGGGACUGAGACACGGCCCAGACUCCUACGGGAGGCAGCAGUAGGGAAUCUUCGGCAAUGGACGAAAGUCUGACCGAGCAACGCCGCGUGAGUGAAGAAGGUUUUCGGAUCGUAAAACUCUGUUGUUAGAGAAGAACAAGGACGUUAGUAACUGAACGUCCCCUGACGGUAUCUAACCAGAAAGCCACGGCUAACUACGUGCCAGCAGCCGCGGUAAUACGUAGGUGGCAAGCGUUGUCCGGAUUUAUUGGGCGUAAAGCGAGCGCAGGCGGUUUCUUAAGUCUGAUGUGAAAGCCCCCGGCUCAACCGGGGAGG
rnacentral:rRNA from 1 species